GAGAGAGAGAGAGGACUUCUGCCUUGCUCAUGUCGUUGAUUCCCGGCAUGCGUCGCCUCCUUCUCUGAGUCUCCCAACCUUGUCUUCCCUUCGUUCAUUCCCAGCCCUUUUAAUUGUUUCAAUUACCCUUGCUUAAUAUCUUGCUUGAUUCUUCUUCUGCGCUAGCAAGGUUGCUGUUGUCUACGAUCGACGUUGUCGAUCCCAGAUUCUAGGGUUCGGGUUAGGGAUUUGUUUCUUGCCAACUUUGGGAAUUGAGAGGGAGAGAAUGAGUUUUCCAGGCUCUGUAAUAUUCGGGGCGGCUGCUAAUCGGGCGUCGGGAUCCAAGGCAGGCCGUGGCGGCCGGGCUGUUCCGGAUCAGAACGGCCAUCCGCAACUUCGAGCGCCUCGGCGACACGAUCAGCACCCCCAGGAAUACCCCCGAGCUACCUCGGGAAGGUGUUCCUAAUUUGGUUCCUCUUUCAUCUCAGGGAAUUGCUGUUUGUUUCACUGUGUUGAUUGACGGAUCUGUUUGGUUCGGUUGGAGCUAGUGUUUACCUGGAGUUUCAAAUUAACCUAUAUGAAUCAUAUUAUGAGAAGUAUCAUCUGCAAUAUUAGAAAUCAUCUUUUUACUAAAUACAAUCUGGUAUGUAUCUUUUCUCUCCCCUUGCCAUAUCAGACAUUAUGAUGAUUGAAACUGGAGUUUAUAUCUUUCAACAAUGAACGGAUUUCUUGGGUGCAA